rnacentral:misc_RNA from 1 species
GCCCGAGCGGGUCUACACCAACGGUUGCUUAAUCGCAGGAGCAUCAUGAGAUGAGAAGAUUAUUCUUAUAUUGGUCUCGUUGCUUCAGAUUCAAGCGGAGAUUUGUAAACGUCCCCAUUAAGCAAAUACGGUGACCAAACUAAUUGAGUGAAUAAAUGCCACAUGAUUGCAUUUUCGGGUGGGGGGGAAGAAGUGUGAAGUUCUAAAGC